UACGUAGGGCGCGAGCGUUGUCCGGAAUUAUUGGGCGUAAAGAGCUCGUAGGCGGCUUGUCGCGUCUGCUGUGAAACCCCGGGGCUUAACCCCGGGCGUGCAGUGGAUACGGGCAGGCUGGAGGCAGGCAGGGGAGAACGGAGUUCCCGGUGUAGCGGUGAAAUGCGCAGAUAUCGGGAGGAACACCGGUGGCGAAGGCGGUUCUCUGGGCCUGUUCUGACGCUGAGGAGCGAAAGCGUGGGGAGCGAACAGGAUUAGAAACCCCUGUAGUCC
rnacentral:rRNA from 1 species